GAUGAACGCUAGCUACAGGCUUAACACAUGCAAGUCGAGGGGCAGCGGGAUUGAAGCUUGCUUCAAUUGCCGGCGACCGGCGCACGGGUGAGUAACGCGUAUCCAACCUUCCGUACACUCAGGGAUAGCCUUUCGAAAGAAAGAUUAAUACCUGAUGGUAUGAUGAGAUUGCAUGAUAGCAUCAUUAAAGAUUUAUCGGUGUACGAUGGGGAUGCGUUCCAUUAGGUAGUAGGCGGGGUAACGGCCCACCUAGCCAACGAUGGAUAGGGGUUCUGAGAGGAAGGUCCCCCACAUUGGAACUGAGACACGGUCCAAACUCCUACGGGAGGCAGCAGUGAGGAAUAUUGGUCAAUGGACGAGAGUCUGAACCAGCCAAGUAGCGUGAAGGAUGAAGGUCCUACGGAUUGUAAACUUCUUUUAUAAGGGAAUAAACCCUCCACGUGUGGGAGCUUGUAUGUACCUUAUGAAUAAGCAUCGGCUAACUCCGUGCCAGCAGCCG
rnacentral:rRNA from 1 species